CGCGUGGGAACAUACCCUUUCCUGCGGAAUAGCUCCGGGAAACUGGAAUUAAUACCGCAUACGCCCUACGGGGGAAAGAUUUAUCGGGGAAGGAUUGGCCCGCGUUGGAUUAGCUAGUUGGUGGGGUAAAGGCCUACCAAGGCGACGAUCCAUAGCUGGUCUGAGAGGAUGAUCAGCCACAUUGGGACUGAGACACGGCCCAAACUCCUACGGGAGGCAGCAGUGGGGAAUAUUGGACAAUGGGCGCAAGCCUGAUCCAGCCAUGCCGCGUGAGUGAUGAAGGCCUUAGGGUUGUAAAGCUCUUUCACCGAUGAAGAUAAUGACGGUAGUCGGAGAAGAAGCCCCGGCUAACUUCGUGCCAGCAGCCGCGGUAAUACGAAGGGGGCUAGCGUUGUUCGGAAUUACUGGGCGUAAAGCGCACGUAGGCGGAUAUUUAAGUCAGGGGUGAAAUCCCGCAGCUCAACUGCGGAACUGCCUUUGAUACUGGGUAUCUUGAGUAUGGAAGAGGUAAGUGGAAUUCCGAGUGUAGAGGUGAAAUUCGUAGAUAUUCGGAGGAACACCAGUGGCGAAGGCGGCUUACUGGUCCAUUAC
rnacentral:rRNA from 1 species